CCGCAGCAAGGCCUGAACGGCUUGGUUCUCUCUAGAAUCAAUUGGCUUAUUGUUGCGAUGUUGUGUUUGCAAACUCGUAUUUCGAGUUAGGUAGAUUUCUACCAUCCUGUUUUGUACAGAUAUCCCCUGUUGCAAAACAAAUACUUCCUGUAUUUAUUUUUUGACCUGUCUGUCAAAUUUUUUAGCACCGCCUUUAGGCGGUGUUUUUUUAU
rnacentral:other from 1 species